rnacentral:rRNA from 1 species
UUGGAGGGCAAGUCUGGUGCCAGCAGCCGCGGUAAUUCCAGCUCCAAUAGCGUAUAUUAAAGUUGUUGCAGUUAAAAAGCUCGUAGUUGAAUUUCGGGGUUAGUAGGCUGGUCGUGCCACCGGUACGUACUGGUCUUACUGAUUCCUCCUUCCUGAUGAACCGUAAUGCCAUUAAUUUGGUGUUGCAGGGAAUCUGGACUGUUACUUUGAAAAAAUUAGAGUGUUUAAAGCAGGC